UUUCGCGCUGGAGACCAUCUAGACUGAUGUCGAGGUAUUGUCUAUCCGUUGCCAUCUAUAUACCUUUAUUGCUUCUUUAUUUGGUAUUUUCAUCUGCUUACCUAUUUCGGUAAGGUGUUUUCUUCCCCGGUGAUACUCUUCGGAAUUUUGGUGGUGUCCUACAGAAACGGAUUUCCCCUGGCUAUGUCUACAAGAUUUCAAACUACUCACUCCGAAAACCCCGCGGUAAGUACCACACUUGCCUAUAUGCCCACUAGCUAGCUCUGAUAUGUGCUACUCAGUUUGAAAUCCAAUAUGAUUCGGAACCACCCUUUGCACUAGAGGUCCUCGAAUACAUUUUGCUGCACAAGUUCCCAUCCAGGAUGAAAUCAUGUGCCUACUUGACAGGUUGUGGUUCCUGCCGUUUCGUUCAUGCGCCCCCUUGGUUCUUACUAUUGUCGUUCCCCUAGUUGACCCCUUUUGUCUGCAGAUUUCGUAGGCAAGGUGGUCGGCGUGGGUCCGCCAAAUUACGUCGACCGUCCCACCGGUUUCUCUGCUGUCUAGAAAAUAACUGUUGUGGAUUCAAUGUCUAUGCUUUCUGUUACCUUCCUAUUAUUGCCCUAUGGGUUGGCUGCCUGCUCAUAUCCCAUCCUCAAUGGAUCUUCCUUAGUACUUUCAACGUGUCCAACUCACCAUUCAAAUUGAUUUAUAUCCACUCUUUUCCUCCUGUCAAUGUACCUUCUUCAGCUGCAUACCAUUAAACUCCCUUCCUCCCACCAUUUUUUCAAUGUUUUAUCUAACUAUAUAGAUUGUUUCCUACUAUAUCCCUCAUAAUAUAGUUGCUCUGCCAUCCUCCAAUCUUCUUAUUCUCUUUCACUACAUCCUAAGUUUCAGUUUGGCCGUUAUUGCAUUCCUCUUAUGGCUCUCACCUAUGAUCUCAGUGUUGCACCCUCGGGUUUGGAUCCCUCACCGCCUUCUGUCACAGCUACACUCCCGCUCCGGUAACAUAACAAAUUCCUUGCUUCUGCUCGAAGGUUAGCGCCUUGACUACAAUCAUUGCAGAUCUUACUCUUGACAACAAUAAACUCUCAUGCCUAUUCCGUCUCAUCCAUUUCUGGUGCACAAGGCCUAUUGCCACAGUCGAGGUCCCCGCUACAAUACACCAUAGACCGGACCAUCAACCGCUCAGUUUGUACCCAAUCCUUUUGCCCUUGCAUGACACUUUUAUUGUAUAACCUUUCCAUACUUAUUUUGGGUUCUCGGUGGUCCUUAGGAAACACUUAUUUAGGGUUAUACAGAGCCAUCUCAUGUAUGGAUUGUUGUUGACCUCUUAAUAUUGAGGACGAUCUACAAAGUCUACCAACCAACUCUCAUUACACCAUAGACCAAACCACGCCCGUGCCCGACCCAUGUCUAUCUCUGUAUCAUUCCCGGCGACUUGAGCAGACCGGUUCCUGAGGAUCCAUUAAGACCGUUCUUUCCCCAUGAUAGCUAUACCAUAGUCCCAAAACCUAUGCCUCGGCCUCUACUGAAUUCCCUUGCUGUUUGAGCAGGGCGCUACUUAGUAACCAACCCAUUCGAUUGCAUAUUUUUCCCCUAUUGGGCUUUGCUGACACCAAUCCGACUCCCUACAGAUAUUGUAGGAUGCAUUGUGUCUAUUACUAAGCUAGAGAAUGCGGGUGAUGGUUUGGUUGAUUUUACUCUGUUUAUUUACGAACCCAGGUUAGUUUCCUCUCAUCGCUAUGCCAUUUCAACCAUUAUAUGUGUUAUAUAGCUUCGUUGAUGUUCUCUGCCCCAUUUCCAAUGGAGACCGCAUUUAUGUUCGUUAUACUGAUUACAUGCCCAAUAUGGAAUUCAGUUUUGACCAACUUGCUACAGCUGAAUAGUUCCAUCCUGUCCUUUAUAUCCUAAAAUCCGUUACACGCUGUGAACUUUCGCACCGGUGGUUUGUACUUACGAUUUUUUGUUUUCCUUUGUCACCCCUUGCCUGUAUUUAAAUAUGCUGCCUUUUAUAGAUACCAAAUGGGGACCUCCAUAGCACACCAGCAUCGCGAAUCCUAUUGGUUCCAUUUCGGCCGCCUUUCAAAUAGUAUUUUGAUAUGUAUGUUUUCGUUUUUAUAUGUCUAGUAUAUACUCCUUUCGAACACUACCUAACUUGUUCCCAUAACACUCCAGUUUCUUGCACAACCACUUCCCUGACCCGGUCAGUCUAUCAAAUGAGCGGUGUUUCAGCUUUGUUUGCGGCAACCUCCCGUUGAAAUUGCAGUUGGCUGCAUUAACUGCUGAGCGCCAUGUUAUGCCUCCACACAGUCAUGUAUAUUUCCUUUCCUUCGUCCGCUCUGUCAAAACCAUUCCCGUUCAACAUCUGUGUAAUACUCCUGCUUUCAGGCUAGGAUUAACAUGUGUCACUGCCCAUCCAAUGUUGUCCAGGCCGGUAAUGGACUUAUGUAUGUACUAGCUGCAUGGAUUGUAUAGCUUUGUUAUUAUACACACCUGUUGGCCACCUACUUCUAACCUAAUUGAGUAUGUUUCUCUUUUCCAAUUACUCUGUCAUGGUGUAUAGUAUUGACGCCACUGUAACUGUGCCUCUACUUUUCAUCAG
rnacentral:lncRNA from 1 species